rnacentral:pre_miRNA from 1 species
AAGCUCAGGAGGGAUAGCGCCAUGAACUCUAUAUCUAUAUAUAUAUAUAUAUAUAUAUAUGUAAAAUCACGAUUCAUGAGUAGUGGCGCUAUCUAUCCUGAGUUUCA